rnacentral:sRNA from 1 species
UAGGAUUUCACGGAGCCGGGUUGCUAGC